rnacentral:tRNA from 1 species
ACGUUGGUGAUUCAGUGGUAGAAUUGCCAACUUCCAUGCGGAAGACCCAGGUUCGAUUCCUAACCCAUGUA